rnacentral:lncRNA from 1 species
AAAAAGGUUGUGUGCAUUCCAUGUUUAAAGAUAACUUUUGUAUGCUAAAUUUUCAUAUUAAAAAUAUAAUUUUAGUUGAUGAUAAAGACUUGCAUUCGUACAAUUGUAGUUUUCAGACUUUUGAUUAACUGUUUUAAUCAAAAAUCUUUUUAUCUGUGGGCAUUUUUUAUUCACCAUGAAAAGAAAGUGUAUUUUAGUUGAAGUAAUUCAGAAUCAAUGCAUUGUACAUGAAAAGUAUGAACAGGAUUUUCAAGUUUGUUGAACACAGUUGGAAGUUUUGUAAAGAGAAGUGUAAAUUAUCAGAUUUAAAAUGAAAAUCUGAUAUAAAAAUAUAU